AUGACACACAAAUUCAAGAGCUAUUGUACAGCAUGGCAAUGUAGUUAAUAAUACUGUAUUGUAUUCUUGAAAAUUGCUAAGACAGUAGAUUUUAAAUGUUCUCAC